GACAGAGGGGGCAAGCGUUGCUCGGAAUUAUUGGGCGUAAAGAGCUCGUAGGCGGUUUGUCGCGUCUGCUGUGAAAACCCGAGGCUCAACCUCGGGCCUGCAGUGGGUACGGGCAGACUAGAGUGCGGUAGGGGAGAUUGGAAUUCCUGGUGUAGCGGUGGAAUGCGCAGAUAUCAGGAGGAACACCGAUGGCGAAGGCAGAUCUCUGGGCCGUAACUGACGCUGAGGAGCGAAAGCGUGGGGAGCGAACAGG
rnacentral:rRNA from 1 species